CUCUGUCCUUCUCACACUCACACCUCCUCCUAAACUGGAAUUGUUGCUCUGUGGCUCAUCCCCAUCCCAGUGCCCCUCCUCUCCUUCCAGCCAGACCCCCAGGGAGGCACGGCUCACUCCCGAGCUCGUUACUCAGAAAUUCUGGAACGGAAACAGCUCUGGGAAGGCACAGCCAGGAAAGCAAAGCAAGGCAACACAGCAGCAAUCAGUGAGGUGAUCUCUGAAAGCAAACAGGAGCUCCUGGGAUUCUUUCAAUUAGCUGGUUCGAGGAAAAUCUUUGGGCAGAGGCAACAAAAGUUGUCUUUUGCAACUUGAAUAAAUUCACUCUGCUCCUCACAGGAGGGUGGAGAAUGGGAGUCCAGGCAGUUGCUUCCCAGCUGGAGUACAGAGGAGAGUCCUGGAUGCCCAAGGAAAUGCUCCACACACUUGAAGGACACACUGGAUCCAUGGCAACUUUCCAGGCUGUUCCAAAGGACACGGAAAGGGGCAAAUUCCAGAGGUCAGGAUGGCCGAGCGGUCUAAGGCGCUGCGUUCAGGUCGCAGUCUCCCCUGGAGGCGUGGGUUCGAAUCCCACUCCUGACAACUUGUUUGCUGCCCAGACUCAUCCCAGAGGGAAUUCUGCCUCCCAGUGUAGGAGGCAUUCCCAGGAAUCUCCCUGGUUCUUGUCCAGCCCUUGGAUUGGUGCCUACUAUUGGUUGUUCAGGUUGACAGUGAUGAGGUCAAAGAGAGAAGUCUCUCCCACCUGAUUAAUCCCUGGAUCAGAGAGAAUUUUGGCUUUUUCCCUCCUACCUGAUUAACUCCUGGCUCAGAUGGAAUUUUGGUUUUUUCCCUCCCAUGUGACUCACACCUGGAUCAGGUGGAAUUUUGGCUUUUUCCUUCCCACUUGAUUAACUCUUGGCUCAGAUGGAAAUUUAGCUUUUUCCCUCCCACCUGAUUCACAUCUGGCUCAGAUGGAAUUUUGGCUAUUUCCCUUCUACCUGAUUCACACCUGGCUCAGGCGGAAUUUUGGCUUUUUCCCUCCCACCUGAUUAACACUUGGAUCAGGUGGAAUCUUGGCUUUUUCCUUCCCACCUGAUUUAACUCCUGGCUCAGGUGGAAUUUUGGCUUUUUGGAUCACCAAAUCUGCUGGUGGCAGCUGGGUUUCGCCAUCUCAAAGUGGGAAAAGGAUUCUGUCCCAUGAGUUGGGGGUUGACUGUGAGGGCUUUAAACCAGGUUUGAAGGGGAAGGGGAUAAAACCAGGCUUGCUAGAGAUGGGCCUAAGGACAGCAUGCCAGUGUGGGGCUUGAAAUCCAUCUGCUUGUGGGAAGGAAGGACCUACAGAGGGAUCUGGACAGGCUGGAUUGAUGGGCUGAGUGUUCCAAAAAUGAGGAGAUGUGGCACUUCCCUACGUGGUUGAGUGUGAAGGUUGAGAGACUGAACCUGAUGAUCUUGGAGCUCUUUCCCAAACUUAAUGAUUCUACGAUUCCCUGAAGCACAGAAAUCCUCUUCCAACCUAAACAAGGUUAAGCUGCAGCAGUUCGAGGCAGAACAAUCCUUUUUUGAAUAUUUUUUUCCUGAUGAGUCUGUGGCUUUAAACUUUUAUGCUGCAAGUUCUUUGAGAUGAUGUCUUUUAUUUUGAUAGUCUUUUAUACAGCACUGCAGUGUCAGUGUGCUGCUGAUGAUGGAAAUAUUACCCUCUUCUGUCAGAGCAGUGACUAUCAGCUGUAACUGCUCGGUUGCUCUUUCACAAGCUCUUUUCUGGUCAUUGCAGUCAAGCCCCAGGGCCUGGAUUUCUCCCACCACUCAUUUCCCAAACCAGUGGCAAGUCCUUGAGAUCCUUGUGCCUCCCAGGCAAAAAGGGGAGUCCAGCAAACCGAGGUGCACAAAAAGAGCAGGAAAAGCAGAUUGUCUUGACGGACAAGGAAAUCAGACCAGGUGAAUCAUCCCAUCUUUAUUUUGUUAAUUAAAACAACCCAGCAGCACUUCAUGCAGCCUCAGGUGGCACCUCCCAUUAGGUACCAGCACCAAAGGACCUUUCCUGCUGAGGGGAAGAGAAAUUAAGAGUCCAGAGCUGACGUCAGUGAUGAAUUUCAAGCUUCAAGUGAAAAGAUGAAGUCUUCCUUUCAACUAAAGACAUCACUUUGCGGAAGGAAAGAAUGUGAAAACGAAACCACGAAGGCUGUUCCUGUGUCAUGGUCAGGACUGGUGACUCCAGCAGUGCCCUGGGCAGCCUGUUCUGAUGUUCAACCACUCUUUCAGUGAAUAUUUGCUUCCCAAAAUCCAACCUGAACCUCCCCAGCACAACUCGAGGCCCUUUUCCCACGUCCUACCAUUAAUUUCACGGCAGAAGAGGCCGAGCCUUGCCUUUAAUUAAAUAUCUCUUUGCAACAGCUCUGUCAAAAUCACAUGUUCUGGUGCAAUCAGGAAUGAGAUGUUUCUUCCCCAAAAUGCUGCUGAGCAGCCAGGAUUGAGCAUGUACCUGACUCCCACUGUGGAAUCGUGCUCGUUGAGCACAUCAAAAUAUCAAGGCAGUGUCGGUAAACUGCAGAGGAUGGUGGAGAGCAACUCCAAGCAUUUAAAAAGUCAGGAGGGAGAUGAGAUUAAAAGGAAACAAUAUGUGCAA